AUUGAACGCUGGCGGCGUGCUUUACACAUGCAAGUCGAACGGCAGCGCGGGCUUCGGCCUGGCUGCGAGUGGCGAACGGGUGUGUAAUGCAUCGGAACGUGCCCCGUAGUGGGGGAUAGUCCGGCGAAAGCCGGAUUAAUACCGCAUACGACCUGAGGGUGCAAGCGGGGGACCGAAGGGCCUCUUGCUAUUGGAGCGGCCGAUGUCGGAUUAGCUAGUUGGUGGGGUAAAGGCUUACUAAGGCGACGAUCCGUAGCUGGUCUGAGAGGACGACCAGCCACACUGGAACUGAGCCACGGCCAAGGCGACUACGGGAGGCAGCAGUGGGGAAUUUUGGACAAAGGGGGCAAACCUGAUCCAGCGAUGCCGCGUGCGAGAAGAAGGCCUUCGGGUUGUAAACCGCUUUUGUUCGGGAAGAAAUCCUCUGGGCUAAUACCCCGGGGGGAUGACGGUACCGGAAGAAUAAGCACCGGCUAACUACGUG
rnacentral:rRNA from 1 species